rnacentral:RNase_P_RNA from 1 species
CCUGUGCAUCGUGCCGUCGCUCUCCGGCUUGUCCGGAGGGAGGAAAGUCCGGGCAGCAAAGGGCAACGUGCUUCCUAACGGGAAGGGGCGCCAUCGUUAACGGUGGCGCCACGGAAAGUGCCGCAGAAAAGAAAACCGUCCCGACUUGUCGGGACAAGGGUGAAAAGGCGGGGUAAGAGCCCACCAGCGCCGUGGCAACACGGCGGCUUGGCAAACCCCACGCGCUGAAAGACCAAAUAGGCCGGCGAGCGUUCCGACUUGUCGGAGCGCAGCGGGCGGCCCGUCCGCCGUCGGUGGGUAGGUCGAUAGAGGCCGCGUGCGAACGCGGUCCCAGAUAAAUGACGGUGUGCUGGCGACUUGUCGGCAGCAACAGAACCCGGCUUACAGAUGCACAGGCCAU